rnacentral:rRNA from 1 species
AUUGAACGCUGGCGGCAGGCCUAACACAUGCAAGUCGAACGAGUGGCGGACGGGUUAGUAAUGUCUGUGAAACUGCCUGAUGGAGGAGGAUAACUACUGGAAACUGUAGCUACUUCCGCAUACCAUCAGAUGUGCCCGGGUUGGAUUUGCUUGGUGGAGGGGUAACGGCGCACCAAGGCGACGAUCCCUAGCUGGUCUGAGAGGAUGACCAGUCACACUGGAACUGAGACACGGUCCAGACUCCUACGGGAGGCAGCAGUGGGGAAUAUUGCACAAUGGGCGCAAGCCUGAUGCAGCCAUGCCGCGUGUAUGAAGAAGGCCUUCGGGUUGUAAAGUACUUUCAGUCGGGAGGCGUUACCCGCAGAAGAAGCACCGGCUAACUCCGUGCCAGCAGCCGCGGUAAUAC